rnacentral:rRNA from 1 species
CCCUUAGAUGUUCUGGGCCGCACGCGUGCUACACUGAGUGGAUCAGCGGGUCAGGUUGCGCGAAAGUGUUUCCUAAUCUUUAAAUCCGCUCGUGAUGGGGAUUGACGGUUGCAAUUUUCCGUCAUGAACGAGGAAUACCUUGUAAGCGCGGGUCAUCAUCCCGCGCUGAAUACGUCCCUGCCCUUUGUACACACCGCCCGUCGCUCCUACCGAUUGAGUGGUCCGGUGAGGCUUUGGGAUCUGAGCGGAAAGAGCGUUUCGCUGUUUCUGCCCGGGAAACUCAGUCGAACCUUAUCAUUUAGAGGAAGGAGAAGUCGUAACA